rnacentral:rRNA from 1 species
UGGGGUUUCAAAGAGCCUUUGUUUCUCCCGGCAUUCGCGUUCUUUUGGUGCACUUUCUCGUUUGUAGGUUAGCAUCGGUUUCGACCGUUAUAAAAUGAUCGGAGGGAUGUAGCUUCGAUUUCGAUUGAAGUGUUAUAACCUUUGGUAGAUGUAACUGUCGGGACCGAGGAUUGCAACGGAUACCCUAACGGGCUAUUCGUCUGGCCUCUGAUACGACACUUCGGCGUCGAAAGCUUGCUUACGAUGUUGAAGCGUUCGGUCAAAAGGUUAGAACGGAUUAAUUCGUUAAGGGAUGUUGACGUA